rnacentral:piRNA from 1 species
UGUCUGACGAGUCACGCUCCCUCAGAAAGC